rnacentral:rRNA from 1 species
GAUGAACGCUGGCGGCGUGCCUAAUACAUGCAAGUCGAGCGAACGGACGAGAAGCUUGCUUUUCUGAUGUUAGCGGCGGACGGGUGAGUAACACGUGGAUAACCUACCUAUAAGACUGGGAUAACUUCGGGAAACCGGAGCUAAUAUCGGAUAAUAUUUUGAACCGCAUGGUUCAAAAGUGAAAGACGGUCUUGCUGUCACUUAUAGAUGGAUCCGCGCUGCAUUAGCUAGUUGGUAAGGUAACGGCUUACCAAGGCAACGAUGCAUAGCCGACCUGAGAGGGUGAUCGGCCACACUGGAACUGAGCCACGGUCCAGACUCCUACGGGAGGCAGCAGUAGGGAAUCUUCCGCAAUGGGCGAAAGCCUGACGGAGCAACGCCGCGUGAGUGGUGAAGGUCUUCGGAUCGUAAAACUCUGUUAUUAGGGAAGAACAUAUGUGUAAGUAACUGUGCACAUCUUGACGGUACCUAAUCAGAAAGCCACGGCUAACUACGUG